UCGAUAGUGACUAGUAACUAUACACACACACAUACAUAUGGAGGCCUAAAAGUUCCAUGCAAGAUCAUCCAUAGAAUCGAGUUCUCGACACAUCGAACUAGACAACAAUGUAGAUUCCACAAACUCAAGACCAAAGCUAGAGCCGUCAAAUGAAGCAUCCAUAUCUUGGACACCUUUGGCUGCAUCUACUUCCUCCGUAGCUUGGUUAUUUUCUUGUUCUUGUGCUUGCAGAACUUCCAUUCUUGGAGCUUCAAAGUUCUCAGCAAUGGUAUUAUGACCCCAGAAACAAUUUUCAUCUAACAGACCAAACCCAGAUGGGUUCACUGAGGAAGAAGAAGAAGAAAUGGCUGUGUUCUGAAAGGAUGAUACAUAGGGGAAAAUGGUAGAAUCAAGGGAGUUUUGAUGAUCAUUGACAG
rnacentral:misc_RNA from 1 species